rnacentral:rRNA from 1 species
GUGGCCAAGCUACCCUGUGGACGGGAAUACUCUCGGGAAACUGAGACUAAUCCCCGAUAACGCUUUGCUCCUGGAAGGGGCAAAGCCGGAAACGCUCCGGCGCCACAGGAUGCGGCUGCGGUCGAUUAGGUAGACGGUGGGGUAACGGCCCACCGUGCCCAUAAUCGGUACGGGUUGUGAGAGCAAGAGCCCGGAGACGGAAUCUGAGACAAGAUUCCGGGCCCUACGGGGCGCAGCAGGCGCGAAACCUUUACACUGUACGAAAGUGCGAUAAGGGGACUCCGAGUGUGAAGGCAUAGAGCCUUCACUUUUGUACACCGUAAGGCGGUGCACGAAUAAGGACUGGGCAAGACCGGUGCCAGCCGCCGCGGUAAUACCGGCAGUCCGAGUGAUGGCCGAUCUUAUUGGGCCUAAAGCGUCCGUAGCUGGCUGAACAAGUCCGUUGGGAAAUCUGUCCGCUUAACGGGCAGGCGUCCAGCGGAAACUGUUCAGCUUGGGACCGGAAGACCUGAGGGGUACGUCUGGGGUAGGAGUGAAAUCCUGUAAUCCUGGACGGACCGCCGGUGGCGAAAGCGCCUCAGGAGAACGGAUCCGACAGUGAGGGAC